GUGUAUCAUACUGUUCCCAGAGACUUCCGUGUGUGAUUGCAUAUUGCCCAUUAAUUCUGUGGCAAAUGAUCCCUCUAGCAGUAAAUUGGUGGUACACUUUAUAUUAUCAUUGAUGGUGAUAAAUUCUGGAACAUACAGGCGAUAGCAAGGGCAGGCAGUGAUUGCGCUCUGUUUGUUGAAGUCUUCCAUAUGUUCGCUACAGACAUAGCUGACAACGUUCACCAUCUUCUCAUUGGCAUCUUUGAGGUUAUACAAAAAACUUGUUGUCUUCUCUCCUGAAUUUACAGAGGAGAUAAAAAAGAUCUUGGCAUCCUUCUGUAACAUAAACCCCAAGAUUGCUGGAAGUGCUUCCUUCUUUAUGAAAUUUGCUUCAUCAACAAACAGUAGAUUAAAUGUCUGCCCCCGGAUGCUCUGUGAAUAAAUCAAAGAAUCUGGUUACUGAUCAGGAUCUCCUGGAUGUGGUGAAUUUUUUUAACAGACCAUUACAUGCUCUCAUUGCUGAGGUGUCAAAAACCACUUCUGAUUUGGAACUUGUCAGGUCAACCACCCAAGGUAUUGAAAAUAUCUGUCUCCUGCUAGACUUGGUAGGAACAGAAUGUAUAAAAGAUGCAAGCGCGGCCAAGACAAGUGUAUGAUGCGGCCUCUUUCUAACCCUUUAACAGAGGCCUAUAACGUGCAAAAUUUGUACCAGUGUCUAAAUUGUGAUGAUUAUCACUUGUGUAAUGGUUCUCUCAACUGUGAUCCUCUGGUGGAUCGAGAGGGAAUUGUGUGCACAGUCACUGGAAAGUAUAUCCAGUGUAAUGUCAGGGAAUCACCCAUGUGUGGGGCAGCGUGUCUGGACGUGGACAUUCACCCAGAGGACAAUACAGACUGCAUUCUGCGGGCACUGUUUGGUGACAUUGUAGAUAUUAUUAAUAAAUUGGAUGAUAUUGCUGAAAUUAAAGAUAAGAUCCUCGCUGGAGACUCCCUAAAUGAGCACAUCAAGAAGAAAAUUGAGUGUACCUUUCCAAUGUGCGCCAACAUCAUUAAUUGUAAUAGCCAAGGCUAUUCCAUACUUUGUAGCAUGUUUGUCCAUAUUAUUAUGUCAAUCUAUGCCAACAAAACCAUAUAUGGCCACAUGCUAUUUAAAUGCACCAGAAAUAAAAAGUAUGACACCAUUGCCAAGAAAAUUAGAGAGAAAUGGAUGUAUUUAGAAUAAAUAAAAAAAGUGUUCCUUUACAACAAGAUGAGCUCCUGGUCGAUCUGUUUCUCCCAGAACAUUUAUUGGCAAUUUAUGGCAUACUACCCAACAGGAACUUUGUGUACACCUCCUCUGUGUGUGAUUAUCAAUCUGGUCACGUCCUGCCUUAUAGAAGAGUUUGGGGAAAAUUUAUGAAGGCAGAAUGUUCUAUAUCACCUCAGUCCCACCCGUCACCAGGCUCAAAAAAACCGCCUUUGAGGAGCUCUGCAACCAAGUGUCCAGUGAUAAGCCCCCUGCCCACGCAGCUGCGUCUUUUCUCCUGUCUUUGUUGCCCAACACCGUCUGUGAGACUACCAAAACACACUGUGCGCUGGAGAACCCUGGCUACAUCAGAGGCUCAAACCCACCCACGUGUCAAACACAGCCAGCCACGGAGACACUGCCCUAUCUGACUGCUUGGCUACUUCUUCCUGGAGGAUUUGUUAUUAAAGGAACAUACAUUCUGGGAAUUCAAGAAAAGGCCUUUGUUGGCAGAUAUUAUGGCAACCAAAGAAGAUAUAAUUCAGACAUUUCUGAAUAAAGAGUGUAUAUGGAUUGUAAAUAAAGCUUCAUGUU
rnacentral:tmRNA from 1 species